UGUAGUCUCGCACAGAUGCAUAUCAAUAAGCGGAGGAAAAGAAACUAACAAGGAUUCCCUCAGUAACGGCGAGUGAAGCGGGAAGAGCUCAAAUUUGAAAUCUUGAAAGGUCACCUUUCACGAAUUGUAGUUUAAAGAAGUGUUUUCUGUUACGAUCGUAAUAUAAGUUCUUUGGAAUAGGACAUCACAGAGGGUGAGAAUCCCGUCUAUGAUUGCGAUUUGUAGCUUUGUGAUACACUUUCAAAGAGUCGGGUUGUUUGGGAAUGCAGCCCAAAACGGGAGGUAAAUUUCUUCUAAGGCUAAAUAUUGGCGAGAGACCGAUAGCGAACAAGUACCGUGAGGGAAAGAUGAAAAGAACUUUGAAAAGAGAGUUAAAUAGUACGUGAAAUUGUCAAAAGGGAAGCGUUUAACACCAGUGUUGUUUUCUGAAAAUCAACCUCUGUUGGCUUUAUGCAUGUUUGUUUAGACCUAAUCAGCUAUCUUGCAUGUUCUAUUGUUUGCAGUGGUGCACUUUUCAGUUUACAGGUCAACAUCAGUUUUUUUUACCGUAAAAAAGUUAAAGAAAGGUAGCUCAUGGCUCCGGUCGUGAGUGUUAUAGUCUUUUUCCUAUGCGGUAGGAGAGACUGAGGUCUGCAGUGUAGGCUAUUUGGCUAGAUACUCAGGUGCUAUGUGAUACCAUUUCAUAAACAACUUGUUGAUUAUGUUUUGUCUAUUGCAUACUCGCUUGUACUAUCAUACCUACGCUUAGGAUGUUGAAGAUGUAGCACAUCAU
rnacentral:rRNA from 1 species